GAUUGUUCACUGCAUGGUUUUUCCCAACUGUCCUUGCUCACUUAGAGCUAUGUCACGAGAAGGAAUAUGCAGCGGUCACACCACUUUCCGGACUGCCUCUCGCCAGGUGUCAACG